CCGGCCGUCCCCUGCGGGCCGACCGGCCCCCCCUGUUCGCACCGGAGGGCCGGGACUUAGUCUGUGAUUCGAAGCCCGUCUCGUGCCCCUGGUAGGGCAGAGAGAAACAGCUCCAAGGGAGAGAGGUGGGCUGGGACUUAGGCCGUGAUCCGAAGCGCGUCCCGUGCCCCUGGUAGGGUAUAGUUCCAUCAGGGGAGGGGGGGGGUGGAGGCCCCGGAGGUCGGCCGACAAAAGGUUGGAUCGAGGGCUGACUCUCAAUGGAUCGCAGCGAGGGAGCUGCUCUGCCACGUACGAAACCCUGACCCAGAAUCAGGUCGUCUGCAAGUCAUUUAGCGCCACGUUCUCCACGAACAUGCUGUGCGCGAUCGGAGAGGGGUGACCAUCGUCCGGCCACACCCCGGCCCAGUCGCGGAAGGCUCUCCUCGCCGACCGGAGCCGGGUAUCGGAGACCGACCGAAGCGAUGCGGCGCUACGGUAUCGUUACGUCUAGGCGGGAUUCUGACUUAGAGGCGUUCAGUCAUAAUCCCACAGAUGGUAGCUUCGCCCCAUUGGCUCCUCAGCCAAGCACAUACACCAAAUGUCUGAACCUGCGGUUCCUCUCGUACUGAGCAGGAUUACUGUUGCAA